UGGAAGGAAUUUAUUUAUCCACAAAACAGGUAGAGCAUAGGUUGCAGCCAUGCAAGUUUCUCUUACACCACGCCACCAAUGUGCCUCCAUUAAUCUGGACAGACCACCUUUAAAGUAGUCAUUCUUUAUGGCCCAUUCCAUCCUCAGCCUCU
rnacentral:sRNA from 1 species